rnacentral:rRNA from 1 species
AUGGUCCCGGAACAGCUUCAUCAAUAUGAGUUAAAGCAAAGCAAGAAGAAGUUGAGGUUUGAAAUUGAGUCAAAAGAGUUUGCUGAGAAGGAGAAGCAGAGGAGAUCUGCAGAUGGUGCCAAGGGUGGUAAAUUUGGCAAGGUGAAGAAGAGGUUGAGUACUGUUGCUGAGGAAGGUGGUACACCUCGGCGGAGUCCACGUGUUGCUGGAAUGAAGAAGAAUCUUGGCAAGAUAACCGCUGAAGCUGGUGGAAGUGAUGAUCCUCAGCGCAAAUGA